rnacentral:pre_miRNA from 1 species
CGUGCACCGGUGGGGUCCCUCGGCCUGGCCUGCACCCUCUUGCAGUCCGGGACCCCUUGGGGGAUGUCAGAGAGCUGGUUUCAGCCCGAUCCUGCAGGCCAGGCUGAGGGACCCCACUGGUGCACA